AUGAAAAUCAUAAGCUGGAAUUGCCGGGGACUCGGGAAUGGUCCGGCAGUUCAAUCUCUUCUCGAUCUGGGGAGAGUGGAGGAUCCCGAUUUACUUUUUUUAUGUGAGACAAGAUUGGAGGAGAAGGAGUUGGAGCGUUUUCGAUGGAGCCUCGGGCUAGCACAUGUGGUUUCAUGGAAGACAGAAGGGAGAAGUAGGGGAGUUGCUCUAUUCUAG
rnacentral:rRNA from 1 species